rnacentral:rRNA from 1 species
CAGUCGCCGCGGUAAUACGUAGGUGGCAAGCGUUGUCCGGAAUUAUUGGGCGUAAAGGGCUCGCAGGCGGUUUCUUAAGUCUGAUGUGAAAGCCCCCGGCUCAACCGGGGAGGGUCAUUGGAAACUGGGAAACUUGAGUGCAGAAGAGGAGAGUGGAAUUCCACGGGUAGCGGUGAAAUGCGUAGAGAUGUGGAGGAACACCAGUGGCGAAGGCGACUCUCUGGUCUGUAACUGACGCUGAGGAGCGAAAGCGUGGGGAGCGAACAGGAUUAGAGACCCCCGUAGUCCCUGUCUCUUAUAA